CAUGCAUAGAAUUGAUAUGAAAAGUAUAUAGAAAUGUGAAUCGAAUUGCCAUGCAUGAAAUGAUAUGAAAAGUAUGAAUUGAGAUAUGAUGCAUAUGAAUGAAUGGUGCGGCGGACGCACAGGUGAGUAUCAGGUGAGUAUUUAAUUACUGUUAUGAUGAUGUUGAUAUAUAUUGAGCUCAAAUCCUGCACCAUGGUUUAGUGCUUAUAGUAUUCACCGCAUCGCACGCUCGCCUUGGAUCCAAGUAGAUGCUAGUCGUACAGUCCACGCGGAGUGGGUACGACAGGCCAGUCGCGAGAGUGUUAGUGAGAUUCCGACUGGUGGGUGACCUUAGAUUAUGUGCACAGAUGAUUUAUGAGAAGCACUAGAGCGUAACUUGUGUGCAGAAGGCCGGACGGGUCACAGAGGUGACUCCGGUAGAGUGAUAGUGAUAGAUUUUGAGCUCUAGGUUCAACCGUACAGGGCUAUUAGAGGGCCUACGGUUGAUUACUUUCUUGCACCUGAUAUGAUUAUUGUUGAUGCAUCCAUACUUAACUAUUGAAUUAGACAUGGCAUGGCAUGAUUGAUAAAGAAAAAUGUUGAGAUAGUAAAAAUGAAGUUUUGAGAAUAUAUAUGUAUAUUUAUAUUUUACAUUUCUGGGAAAGUAUACAGGUUUUACGGAGAGGGGUUACAACGUUUUGAGAAAUGUUUGGAUUUUGAAAAGAAUUGUUUUACUGACCCACUCAAUUUUGGUUUUGCGCCCCUCCAGGUUCAAGAAUCACAAAGGUGUGGUGACUACGAGGAAUUCGACGGUGUUCUGACAGAUUGGACAAAAUUAGGACUCACCUUCGGGUGUAUCAACUUAUAAAUUGUAUCUUAAAGCUUCCGUACUGUGUAAAUGGUUACGUCACUCUCACGUGACGGCCAGCAUGCCCUCCUUCGGGACGGGGUGUGUCAGUCGACCUUAGAUUAUGUGCACAGAUGAUUUAUGAGAAGCACUAGAGCGUAACUUGUGUGCAGAAGGCCGGACGGGUCACAGAGGUGACUCCGGUAGAGUGAUAGUGAUAGAUUUUGAGCUCUAGGUUCAACCGUACAGGGCUAUUAGAGGGCCUACGGUUGAUUACUUUCUUGCACCUGAUAUGAUUAUUGUUGAUGCAUCCAUACUUAACUAUUGAAUUAGACAUGGCAUGGCAUGAUUGAUAAAGAAAAAUGUUGAGAUAGUAAAAAUGAAGUUUUGAGAAUAUAUAUGUAUAUUUAUAUUUUACAUUUCUGGGAAAGUAUACAGGUUUUACGGAGAGGGGUUACAACGUUUUGAGAAAUGUUUGGAUUUUGAAAAGAAUUGUUUUACUGACCCACUCAAUUUUGGUUUUGCGCCCCUCCAGGUUCAAGAAUCACAAAGGUGUGGUGACUACGAGGAAUUCGACGGUGUUCUGACAGAUUGGACAAAAUUAGGACUCACCUUCGGGUGUAUCAACUUAUAAAUUGUAUCUUAAAGCUUCCGUACUGUGCAAAUGGUUACGUCACUCUCACGUGACGGCCAGCAUGCCCUCCUUCGGGA
rnacentral:lncRNA from 1 species